AAUACCCUAUUAUUUUAAAAGUAAUUAAAUAAAUCUAAUUAGUAAUAGUUAAGUUCUUGAAAAUUAAAGAAUUUGGCGGUAUUUUAGUCUAUUCAGAGGAAUCUGUCCUAUAAUUGAUAAUCCACGAUUUUUUAUACCUAAUUUAUUAAUUUACAUAUCGCCGUAGUUUGAAUAUUUUUUGAAAAUUAUAAUAUUCAUAAUUUAUUUUGAUAAAAAAAAUCAGGUCAAGGUGUAGUUUAUAGCUAGGAAGAGAUGGGUUACAAUAAAAGUAUUUAUUACGGAUUAAUUAAUUAAAUAUUUUUUUAUGAAGGUGGAUUUGAAAGUAAUUUUAUUUA
rnacentral:rRNA from 1 species